rnacentral:rRNA from 1 species
CUGCUCCUAGUACGAGAGGACCGGAGUGGACGCAUCACUGGUGUUCGGGUUGUCAUGCCAAUGGCACUGCCCGGUAGCUAAAUGCGGAAGAGAUAAGUGCUGAAAGCAUCUAAGCACGAAACUUGCCCCGAGAUGAGUUCUCCCUGAGACUUUAGGUCUCCUGAAGGAACGUUGAAGACGACGACGUUGAUAGGCCGGGUGUGUAAGCGCAGCGAUGCGUUGAGCUAACCGGUACUAAUGAACCGUGAGGCUUAACCUUACAACGCCGAAGCUGUU